rnacentral:tRNA from 1 species
GGUUUCAUAGUAAAAGAAAUAACGUUGAAUUGCAAAUUCGAAGAUGUGUAUAACACUGAAACUU